UGGCGGACGGGUGAGUAACGCGUGGAAAACCUGCCGUAUACUGGGGGAUAACACUUAGAAAUAGAUGCUAAUACCGCAUAAGCGCACAGCUUCGCAUGAAGCGGUGUGAAAAACUCUGGUGGUAUACGAUGGUUCCGCGUCUGAUUAGCUAGUUGGUGGGGUAAUGGCCUACCAAGGCAACGAUCAGUAGCCGGCCUGAGAGGGUGAACGGCCACAUUGGGACUGAGACACGGCCCAAACUCCUACGGAAGGCAGCAG
rnacentral:rRNA from 1 species